rnacentral:lncRNA from 1 species
AUUUUACAGAAAACAUCAUUACCACUUGAUGGCAAGAAGAAAGAUGUUGGAAGGAGAUCUGGAAAAAGAAGAAGAAGUAUUCCGGUCGGAUGGAGUCUUUCGGAGGUAUGUUGACGU